rnacentral:rRNA from 1 species
UACGUAGGGGGCAAGCGUUGUCCGGAUUUAUUGGGCGUAAAGAGCGUGUAGGCGGCUAGGUAGGUCCGUUGUGAAAACUCGAGGCUUAACCUCGAGCUGUCGGCGGAAACCAUCUGGCUAGAGUCCGGAAGAGGAGAAUGGAAUUCCCGGUGUAGCGGUGAAAUGCGCAGAUAUCGGGAAGAACACCCGUGGCGAAGGCGGUCUCUGGGACGGUACUGACGCUGAGACGCGAAAGCGUGGGGAGCGAACAGG